rnacentral:rRNA from 1 species
CCUACGGGGCGCAGCAGGCGCGAAACCUCUGCAAUGCGGGAAACCGUGACAGGGGGAUCCCAAGUGCUCAUGCAUUGCAUGGGCUGUUCUCUGGUCUAAGUAACCAGAGGAGUAAGAGCUGGGCAAGACCGGUGCCAGCCGCCGCGGUAAUACCGGCAGCUCGAGUGGUAGCCGCGAUUAUUGGGCCUAAAGCGUUCGUAGCCGGAUAAGUAAGUCUUUGGUUAAAUCCUACGACUCAACCGUGGGAAAUCUAGAGAUACUGCUUGUCUUGAGACCGGGAGAGGUUGGAGGUACUCCUGGGGUAGGGGUGAAAUCCUAUAAUCCUAGGGGGACCACCUGUGGCGAAGGCGUCCAACUGGAACGGGUCUGACGGUGAGGGACGAAACCUAGGGGAGCGAGCCGGAUUAGAUACCCCCGUAGUCC